UUGCCUUCACUUUUCACUUCUGUGAGAGUGCAGAGCUUCAGUCAGAAGCAUUAUAAAUUAGUCUCUUUAGUACUUGCUGCAUACUACAGUCUUUUACUAUCUCCUAAAAACAGAAGAAAGGGUAUUUUCUUCGGUUGUGCACGUUUUGCAGCCAUAACAGCACAAAGGGUCUCUUUAUUACUUGCUGCCUGGUCUUCUGGAUGUUACAGCCUUCUUCUAUUCCCUAAAAACAAAAAAAAAGGGUAUUUUCCUGACGUGUACAACUUUUGCGGCUACAGUUACUGUGACUUCAUUCUCAGCACAAAGAUGCUGGUUGUGUCUUGCUGUUGCUCAUUCUGGUCAUGUACUGCUGGUUGUGUCUUGCUGCUCCUCAUUUUGGUCCUGAUGGUCAUGCAUGUGCACAUAAUUUUUGUGUUGUUUGGUCUAAAGUUAUGCAAUGGUUUAUUUAAAAUAUGUAUUUUGAUGAUUGUGCCUACUACACUUCUCUCUUUUGUUUUUCUGUUUAUUGGUCUGUUGGACGUAAAUUUGUACUUAAAGCUAUGGUCUCUUUGUGGAUUGGUCUUA